GGNGCAGNNUGNUGCAGCNNGCCGCGUGAGGGANGACGGCCUUCGGGUUGUAAACCUCUUUUAGCAGGGAAGAAGCGAAAGUGACGGUACCUGCAGAAAAAGCACCGGCUAACUACGUGCCAGCAGCCGCGGUAAUACGUAGGGUGCAAGCGUUGUCCGGAAUUAUUGGGCGUAAAGAGCUCGUAGGCGGUUUGUCGCGUCUGCUGUGAAAAUCCGAGGCUCAACCUCGGACCUGCAGUGGGUACGGGCAAACUAGAGUGCGGUAGGGGAGAUUGGAAUUCCUGGUGUAGCGGUGGAAUGCGCAGAUAUCAGGAGGAACACCAAUGGCGAAGGCAGAUCUCUGGGCCGUAACUGACGCUGAGGAGCGAAAGCGUGGGGAGCGAACAGGAUUAGAUACCCUGGUAGUCCACGCCGUAAACGGUGGGAACUAGAUGUGGGGUCCGUUCCACGGAUUCCGUGUCGCAGCUAACGCAUUAAGUUCCCCGCCUGGNNNNNNCGGA
rnacentral:rRNA from 1 species